rnacentral:rRNA from 1 species
AUUGAACGCUGGCGGCAUGCCUUACACAUGCAAGUCGAACGGCAGCACGGUUGCUUGCACCUGGUGGCGAGUGGCGAACGGGUGAGUAAUACAUCGGUACAUGUCCUUUAGUGGGGGAUAGCCCGGCGAAAGCCGGAUUAAUACCGCAUACGAUCCACGGAUGAAAGCGGGGGGCCUGCAGGCCUCGCGCUAUAGGGUUGGCCGAUGGCUGAUUAGCUAGUUGGUGGGGUAAAGGCCUACCAGGGCGACGAGCAGUAGCUGGUCUGAGAGGACGACCAGCCGCACUGGAGCUGAGCCAGCGCCCAGAGUCCUACGGGAGGCAGCAGUGGGGAAUUUUGGACAACGGGCGAAAGCCUGAUCCAGCAAUGCCGCGUGUGUGACGAAGGCCUUCGGGUUGUAAAGCACUUUUGUCCGGAAAGAAAUCCUUGACUCUAAUACAGUGGGGGGAUGACGGUACCGGAAGAAUAAGCACCGGCUAACUACGUG